AACCAGCCUUCUGGGGAGUCUGUGCUGUUUCUUACUUAACAGUGACAAACAUGACAAUGCAAGUUUUAGGAAGAUGGAGAGGGAGCAAGGAUGAUGUGCAAUGUGUGUAAAGCCUGUGAAACAGUAGCUGAGGUAGAAGAAAAGAAUAUACUGCAGUUAAACCCUAUAACCCUGCCUUAGAGUCUCCAUUAACUGAAAGAGCCAUUUAUUGCAACAAGCGAGGAGUUGCCUGAACGCACAGGCGCUGAGAGACAACAGGGUUUUGCUGCAGUUGGAAACUUGGAGAAAUAUAAUUGCACCAUUGUCUCUCUCUGUGCUCCC